rnacentral:rRNA from 1 species
GACGAACGCUGGCGGCGUGCUUAACACAUGCAAGUCGAACGAAGAGCGAUGGAAGCUUGCUUCUAUCAAUCUUAGUGGCGAACGGGUGAGUAACGCGUAAUCAACCUGCCCUUCAGAGGGGGACAACAGUUGGAAACGACUGCUAAUACCGCAUACGAUCUAAUCUCGGCAUCGAGGAAAGAUGAAAGGUGGCCUCUAUUUAUAAGCUAUCACUGAAGGAGGGGAUUGCGUCUGAUUAGCUAGUUGGAGGGGUAACGGCCCACCAAGGCGAUGAUCAGUAGCCGGUCUGAGAGGAUGAACGGCCACAUUGGGACUGAGACACGGCCCAGACUCCUACGGGAGGCAGCAGUGGGGAAUCUUCCGCAAUGGACGAAAGUCUGACGGAGCAACGCCGCGUGAGUGAUGACGGCCUUCGGGUUGUAAAGCUCUGUUAGUCGGGACGAAAGGCCUUCUUGCGAACAGUUAGAAGGAUUGACGGUACCGGAAUAGAAAGCCACGGCUACUCUC